AACGAACGCUGGCGGCAUGCCUAACACAUGCAAGUCGAACGAGACCUUCGGGUCUAGUGGCGCACGGGUGCGUAACGCGUGGGAACCUGCCCUUAGGUUCGGAAUAAUUCCCCGAAAGGGGUGCUAAUACCGGAUAAUGUCUUCGGACCAAAGAUUUAUCGCCUUUGGAUGGGCCCGCGUUGGUUUAGCUAGUUGGUAGGGUAAAAGCCUACCAAGGGGACGAUCCAUAGCUGGUCUGAGAGGAUGGCCAGCCACACUGGGAGUGAGACACGGCCCAGACUCGUACGGGAGGCAGCAGUGGGAAAUAUUGGACAAUGGGCGAAAGCCUGAUCCAGCACUGCCGCGUGAGUGAUGAAGGCCUUAGGGUUGUAAAGCUCUUUUACCCGGGAUGAUAAUGACAGUACCGGGAGAAUAAGCUCCGGCUAACUCCGUG
rnacentral:rRNA from 1 species